rnacentral:lncRNA from 1 species
AAAUAUUUUGAUAAGUGCAUGUGCCCAAGCCGAGAUGAAUGUAUGAAACUGGCACAAAUGGUUGGUGUGAGAGAGCGACAGAUCCAGGUAUGAUUCCCGCUCGUCCCUCUCUCCCUGAGCUGUAAAUGUCACUCUCCCAUCAGGCACCGAUGCAACACAUAGUGAGAUUCUACAUUUUGGGUGCAGCUUGGAACACCUUUGGAAGCUGGGCAUAUAUGUAUCCAGGACUGAACCUGGCUUCCUUCCUCAACCAAGGCACAAACAUGGAGACAUCAGCCCCCGGGUUCUCCAGGACCUAAAUAUCAAAUAGUAAUAUGUGAACCUAAAUCUUCCAUGGUAUUAGGUCACAGCCAUCCCAAGUCGUUUUUGCUUCUAGAUGCUCACACUUCCUUCUGUGUAUAUCAGGUUUUGUUAAAGCCAAUUUUCCCAUGCAGUCUUUGACUUCCAGGUGCUCCUUUGAAGUUUCCUUUGUUUUCCCAGGUCUGGUUCAAGAACCAUCGUGCGAAGAACAAGAAGAAGUAUCCCCACAAUGUGCAACAAGGAGUGCCAGAGACAAGUGGACACUCUACAGCUGAUUCUGGUUCCACCAGUUCCCAUGGUCAUUUAACUGUCCUUGCUUCUACCAAUGGGGAAUCCAUGUCUCCAGAAUCAGCUUCCCACCCUUAUCUGCCCAAAGGAAACGAAGCACCAAGUGACCCAGGACUAACCAGAGAUGCAGCCUUACCUGAAGCUUACCUUACCACUUCUCGUGGCACCUAGAGAGCAAGAUCCAGAGCAUGAUAAGGCCUCAAGUCCAUCUCUUGAGGAGUGUUAGCAACAAAUCCUUGAGGACUUUUUUGAUGCAAUGGAUGACAGGUUCAAAUUCAAUUACAACAUAGGACCACAAGUCCUAUCCUUGUAUGGGUUUGCAUAUUUCAGCACCACACUGAUCAACAGAGCUAGUUCUAAUGCCAAGUUAAUAUGCCCAGGCAGAGCCUGUAUUUCUUUAGUCUUUUGUAUGAGAAAGGCUGUCCCAAGUUUCCUGUCACUCCUCACUCCCCAAGCUAGAGUGUAGGGGUUACAGAUCACUAGCCACCAGCCCACCCUAAGCAGAUGGCAUUUUUGACAGUGAUUCUGAGACUAUGGUACCUGAAUUGUCCAAAAUUUUCUGUAAACUUGAUUGCCUUUGUCCCUUCAAUGCUAGGAUUCUGUGUGGUGACUGGAAUUUGGACAGCAAUUAGAAAUUCCUUAGGGAGUUUUGUUUUCCAAAUUAAUUGACACAGGUUUUGUGAUAUAUGUAAUAAUUAUAUAAAUAUAUUCUUAUAUUAACCUAGUGUUUAUAUAUGUGGCCCAGGUGGGUUCUGUGUUCACAUCAUACUUCUGCCUCCAGAGUUACAUUAUUCUAUAUGUGUACUAUGAGCCUGUUUGUCUAUGAACUACUUUUCUUAAUUAAUGAGUCCUUUAUCCUUUUGAUUUAAAUAAAGUGGCUUUUUGAUAAAAUUA